ACCUCAGUGGUGCAAUCAGUAGCACACCAGAGAAUGGACGUUUGUAGACGCGGGUUCGAAUCCCGCUGAGGUU
rnacentral:tRNA from 1 species